rnacentral:pre_miRNA from 1 species
UAUAGGUGCUGGUUCUUAAAAAAACCGAUACCUAUAGUAUUUGUACCGGUUUUAACUAAUGAACCGGCACCUAUACUUCGUAAA